GUGCCUUCGGGAACCGUGAGACAGGUGCUGCAUGGCUGUCGUCAGCUCGUGUUGUGAAAUGUUGGGUUAAGUCCCGCAACGAGCGCAACCCUUAUCCUUUGUUGCCAGCGGUCCGGCCGGGAACUCAAAGGAGACUGCCAGUGAUAAACUGGAGGAAGGUGGGGAUGACGUCAAGUCAUCAUGGCCCUUACGACCAGGGCUACACACGUGCUACAAUGGCGCAUACAAAGAGAAGCGACCUCGCGAGAGCAAGCGGACCUCAUAAAGUGCGUCGUAGUCCGGAUUGGAGUCUGCAACUCGACUCCAUGAAGUCGGAAUCGCUAGUAAUCGUGGAUCAGAAUGCCACGGUGAAUACGUUCCCGGGCCUUGUACACACCGCCCGUCACACCAUGGGAGUGGGUUGCAAAAGAAGUAGGUAGCUUAACCUUCGGGAGGGCGCUUACCACUUUGUGAUUCAUGACUGGGGUGAAGUCGUAACAAGGUAACCGUAGGGGAACCU
rnacentral:rRNA from 1 species